rnacentral:lncRNA from 1 species
AUGUGGCCUCACUAUUUCAUGUUAUCAUCACAACCCCACCCAGAGAUGAGGACAGGGGCCAGAAAGUCUCAUCCUUUUCCUUAUAUAGCAGAUAAAGAAAUGGAGGCUCAGAGACAUUGUGUAGCUUGCCUAAGGUCACACAGCGAGCCAGAGGCAGAACUGGGGUUUGAACCACCCAUGCCAGAGCUUGUGGCUGCUCCUCACCUCCUGCGUGGGUCUCCUCAUUGCCUCCCCAGGAUUCCCGGUGGCUCUGUUUCUCUGGGGUCAGGGCUAUUCCAUCAGUCAAAUCUGCACACGGAGAUGUGUACCAUGCCAGACAGCGGGCAAUGUGGAGACGAACCCCAAGGCUCCUAUCCUCAAGAGCCCACGCUAAGGGGGUGAUUUAAGACAGCUAAGUUGUUUCGUCUCUAUUUCUGCCUCUGACCUCGGUCCUUGAGCUCAUGUUGCUGAUCAGCUGCAGGUUUGAAAGGUCGGAAGGAAACUGAGAACUGUGAGAGGCCAGAACCGAGGAGGCCCAGCUGGGGGUGAAGGGCAGACUCUCCGAGGUCCAGGCCUCGGCGCAGCGCUGAGCAAAAGUGGAGCCCAUGGAGACCGUCCACUCGCACAGCCGAGGAGGAGGCUCUGAUAUGGACACAGGAGGCCACGGCUACCGCCCAUGCACGUUCUCUUCCUCCAGGUGGCACUACCUCAUUUUACCCUCAGGGCCCUGGAGACGGGCACCACGGCUCUCUUGCUAUCUGCACAGGAACUAAGCACACAGACUGCCAGGGGAGCUGGGAGCUGGCCCAAGCCUGGCUGACGUCAUGUCUCAACCUCACAAUCACCAGACAGAGGCUCCCCGUAUUUGGUACGUGUCUGCACUUACAUUUUUUCUACAUUUUCACUUAGGCCUCACAAUGACCCUGUGAGUUGGGUCUUAUUAGCUCCAUUUCACAGAUAAGGAAACAGAGGCCCAGGAAGGUCACCGAAGGUCACCCAGCCAGUAGGCUCCAGAUCUCGCCUUCUGAUCUUGCCAGCUGCUCCCCAGACCGCGGCCUCUCUCGGCACAGCCUGGCCAGCCUGCCUGGGGCGGGGCUCGCCUCAAGAUGGCGCCCACCCUCUUCCCUUGUUUCGCCGUAUUCGAAGGACUCCAACACGACAGCUUUUACAUUUCGGCAUCUUUGCAACCUGGGUGCAUCUUACAGUCUUUGGCAGGCCAGGCAGCUGUCGUGACCUUGUUCUCUUUUCCCGCACACACAUCAAAACCUGCAGGAUGGGCAUCAGUUUCUCAGAAGAAAAUCCUGGAGCCAAUAGCGGAGGACACUUAAAAAAGACACGCUGGGGCUGGCCCUGUGGCCGAGUGGUUAAGUUUGCGCGCUCCGCUGCAGGCGGCCCAGUGUUUCGUUGGUUCGAAUCCUGGGCGCGGACAUGGCACCACUCAUCAAACCACGCUGAGGCAGCGUCCCACGUGCCACAACUAGAAGGACCCACAACGAUGAAUAUACAACUAUGUACCCGGGGGCUUUGGGGAGAAAAAGGAAAAAAUAAAAUCUUUAAAAAAAAAAAACA